AAGCACCAAUACCUACACUCGUUACAUACACGGCAUGCACAAAACAUGUUUAUUCAAUAAACAGGGUAUAUGUGAAAUUGGAUAAAGUAGAUAUUGAUACGAAAAGGGUAAAAUACUGGAAGCUCUAUUGGAUACAAAAUUGAAAACGUACAAAAAAAUCACAAAAAUAUACUUUCGAUUACAGCAAAGAAAAUUGUAAAUCACAUUCAUAUGAACCACAUGAAAGGUAACAUUUACGCAGAAUUUCAAAAGGUAUAUUGUCUAAAACAGUCUCUUGUAAGUCUAGCGCCUUUGUUCAUGUCUUAUAUAUAUAUACCCUUGAUAUACGAGUUAAAAGGACAAAGGCUUCUCUGCGAGUUCGAAUGACAGCUGGUGACACUACAUGUUCCGGUAUAAAGCAGAGACGAUUAAGGUGAGGGGGUUCUGUUUUGUUUCAGACAUACACAUUUCUUUUUCAGAACACCAAGAAAGUCUAACUGAGAUAUGUUUCGAGCAAUAUCGUUAUCAGGUUAUUUUACAUUCGUAACUACUCGUGUCAUUCCGACAAGCCGGAUGGCUCUUCUUGUAGGUCACGGAAAGAGGCGAGUAGUUACGAAUGGUUAUUUCACUUAAAAUUACUCCUCGGACAUCAACCUCCCUUCCACAUCAACGGCAAAAGAAACAAUAGGGGAAAACGUUUCUUUUGUUAUUUUUGUUUACAGAUGUGUGGAUUCUGCAUCUUUAG